UUACAAAAUGGCUGGGGAUCUUGUAAAAAUUCACAUUCUGAUUCAGUGAGAUUGGAUCAAAGAUUCUGUUAUUCCUUGCAAGCUCCCAGGUAAUGCCUAU
rnacentral:pre_miRNA from 1 species